GACGAACGCUGGCGGCGUGCUUAACACAUGCAAGUCGAACGGAAAGGCCCUGCUUUUGUGGGGUGCUCGAGUGGCGAACGGGUGAGUAACACGUGAGUAACCUGCCCUUGACUUUGGGAUAACUUCAGGAAACUGGGGCUAAUAACGGAUAGGAGCUCCUGCUGCAUGGAGGGGGUUGGAAAGUUUCGUCGGUUGGGGGUGGACGCGCGGCUUAUGAGCUUGUUGGUGGGGUAGUGGCUUACCAAGGCGUUGACGGGUAGCCGGCCUGAGAGGGGGACCGGCCACAUUGGGACUGCGAUACGGCCCAGACUCCUACGGGAGGCAGCAGUGGGGAAUAUUGCACAAUGGGCGGAAGCCUGAUGCAGCAACGCCGCGUGCGGGAUGACGGCCUGCGGGUUGUAAACCGCUUUCGCCUGUGACGAAGCGUGAGUGACGGUAAUGGGUAAAGAAGCACCGGCUAACUACGUG
rnacentral:rRNA from 1 species